rnacentral:rRNA from 1 species
UACGUAGGGUGCAAGCGUUAUCCGGAAUUACUGGGCGUAAAGGGCUCGUAGGCGGCCAACUAAGUCAGACGUGAAAUCCCUCGGCUCAACCUGGGAACUGCGUCUGAUACUGGAUGGCUUGAAUUCGAGGAGGAGGUGCAGAAUUCCAGGUGUAGCGGUGAAAAUGCGUAGAUAUCGAGAGGAACACCAGAGGUGAAGACGGGUUGCUGGGCUGACACUGACGCUGAGGCGCGAAAGCCAGGGGAGCAAACGGG